GAUAGUGUCUGGAAAGACAAAAAAAAAAAAAAAAUUGAGUAGACUGGGGCAGGGUGCUGAGUGCAGUUAGCUCAGGUUAGCUCAGAUUAGCUCAGGUUAGCUCAGCCUGAAGCUGGGUGAAGCAAUCAGUGCUUUAUGCAUGAAUUGGGGUGUGGGGGUGGGGUGCUGGGGGUCUCUCUGAGACCAGGUUGGUUUGCACCCUUAGUAGCUGAAGUUCAUCAAUGCAGGCUUUAGAACUGGCAAGAAACUUGUUUGAGUCUGUGUUUUAGACAGUCUUGAGGCAGCUGACUCACAGUAAGCAAGGGCAAGAGGUGGCAAGAUGAUUGCAAUAGCUCGGGCAAGAAUGAAUUGAUAAACCCUGCAGAGGUCAGGUGGUAAGACCGAGGCCUGGAUGCCUGGGAUGAGCUGGAGUCCAGGCCAGUUUCUCCUGGCUGAGCCCAGCAGGAGAUAUGGGAGGAGGUUGGAGCAAGCUUCAGAUCAUGGCUGAUCUCAUCUGUGCUAAGUCACGGGUUGUGUACCAGGAAGAAUACCAGGAGAAAGUAGCAGUGCCAGCACGUGGAAGUCAGAAGGUAUGAUCCAGCUGAGCUCAGCGUCUAACAGAGGUGUGGGACAAGACAGGGGUGGAUACCAUAACCCCUGAAGGAGACAAAAUGGUCUUGCAGAGGAAGAUCAGCCUUCUGUAACCUUCACCUUUGGAGGAGAGAAGAGGAAAGCUCUACAAGAGAUUAGGGAUGACUGGGGAGGCAGGGGUAGGGGCCCAGGCACAAAGAAUAAUGCAUCCAUCCUGGCAGCCCCAGAAGGACAGAGAAUAAGAAAAAGUAACUGCAUGCCCGCAUAGAUACAUGGUAGAUAGAGCCAUGGAGGGCAUUGGGUGGGAAAGCUCAGUGGUUAAGCGUGGGGAGAGAGGGAAGACGCUCUGUGAUUCAGGAUGAGACAGAUGUCAGGAUGGCUGUGGUCAAAGGGGUUUCCUUUAGCCAGUAUUUCUGAAGAACAACAGUGUGUGUCGAGAGGCAAUAGGGCACAGAAGAAGGACUUCACGAUUUUGAUGGAGUUGAGUGUCUCCAGGAUGGACAGUCCCGAGGUAAUAGGAGGCAGAGAACUCAUAGGGAGAUAGGAAAGAGGCAGUCAUUGGACACUGUGCCAGCCUGCAGCCCCCAUGUUGACACAGCCCUGAAUCACUGUUCAGGCUAGUCUGGGCCUAUGGCUGGGAGGGAUGUGGUUGUGUGGUUUGCAAAAAUGAGUGAUGAGUGAAGAGAAAAUGGUGUAGUGAGGAUUCUGGGGUGCAGGAGAGUGUUCCUCAGAUAACCAUACUACUGGGACAGUUGGAAGAUGAGACCAAAGAGCAAAUGGUUGAAGUUGAAAUGGGAGACGCAGGUGUGAAGGGGUAGCCUGGUCCAAGGUGGGCCAUAGACAAAAGGUGGACAUUAGGGAAGAAAGUCUCUGGAGAUGGGAGCUAAUGGUCUAGAGACUCCAUUUAUCAGGUGGGCCAUGUGGAUGCUAAAACCCAGCAGGUGACAUCAGGUUUUGAGCAAAGGACAGUGAGUUGGGGCUAUGGUCAGGGAAAGGAGUGGUACUGGGAAAGUGGAGUGCCUUAUAGAAAUGUGACAGGUGACACUGGGCUUGAGGGGAACCCCCAUCCUGUGGAACUAAUAGUAUCAUGGUCCAGAAACCCAUCCAGGAUGUUAAAGAGGCAUGGGAUUAAUUGGGAGGCCCACAGGACAGAGGGUGUGUCCUCAGAGGAAGCAGGGAUCUAGAAGGGUCAGUGGGAGAUAAGGAAGGGAGGAUCGGUCAGGUCUAGAGGGACGAAGAACAAUGAGGAGGUGACCAGAGGAAGGCACAGGAGUGGCAAGCGUGGCCAGGUCCCAGGAGCAGUUACCCACAUGCACAAAGGUAGGAGGAAUGGUCAACAGGGGAAACCUGCUCAUUCAUCCACCCAUCCACCCAUUCAUCUAUCCAUCCCCCAUCCAUCCAUCCAUCCAUCCAUCCAUCCAUCCAUCCAUCCAUCCAUCCAUCCUUCCGUCUGUCCAUCCAUCCACUCACCCACCCACCCACUCAUCCAUCCAUCCAUCCAUCCAUCUACCCACCCACCCACUCAUCCAUCCAUCCACCCACCCACUCAUCCACCUAUCCAUCCAUCCAUCCAUCCAUCCAUCCAUCCAUCCAUCCAUCCACUCAUCCACCCAUCCAUCCAUCCAUCCAUCCAUGGCUCAAGGAAUCUCCAUGCCACAAACGUGGUUUUUGUGUGUGUAGGAUCCAUUCGUUCAUUCCUGAACGAAUCAGCAUCCUUCCCUCAUGAAGCUUGCAUUCUUGAUGGCAUGUAAGGGGUGGGGGGCAGGAAAACAAAAUGCCAAGCAUGAUAAGAAGGGCACUCGAUGGGUGAUGAGGCUGGGGCAAAAAUAAAAGGCAGAGGAGGUGAAAGAUCUCACCUGGAUGGAGCCCCUCAGGUAGUUGUCGCCGUCCUCAUGUCCUGAGGUCUCAGUCUAGGGCUUAGAAGUGUUGGUGACCUGCUGGGCUGCCUCCCCGACCCCGUGGACUGUUUGACUCUAGGCCCAACUUCCUUAUGUAUAUAUGGGAUAUAAAAGAACCUGUCUUAUAGAGGCUCAGCACCUAGCAGGCGCUGUGCUCUGCACCAUCUUAGCAUCAUCUUUAUCCAAGGACAAUUAGGAAAGGGUCGGGAGAAGACCUUGGGACCAGUAGCCCCCACCUCUGUCUGCCCAAGCCUCUUCUCUGCUGACCCAGCUGUGGAGGAAGGAGCUAGGUCCCCCACGGUGCCGUGCAGGCCCAUGCCUCUGCUGGAGGCAUGUGACAUAUUGUGGCCUGAUGUGGUCUGUUUUUCCCCUCCUGGUGCAAGACAUGACUCAGAGGGCCGUGCUGGGGGAAUGCUUCCUCUGGCAUGCCCACCUCAUCGCCCCUGCUUUCUUUUGAAUCGUUGAAUCAGACUUUAUAUCUGGCUCUGCCAUUCACUGGCCUUAUUUAUGCAGAAAAAAAACGGCCCCACAGUUCCAACUUGCUCAACAGCCCGAAAGACUUAGCUUUGGCCCCGAGGAGGGAAGGAGGGUGGGUGGGUUCCCAAACGAGGGGAAAAAGAAAGAAAAAGAAAGAGCCAUCAACAAUCAAAACAAUGUCCUCCGCCCUGUCUAAUCUGGGUAGCUUUCAGGGUUGGGGUAACGCGUUUCCACAGUGGAUCCCCCCCUUCACCCCCUCCCAGGCUGUUUUCACAGGAAGCGAAUCCUGGGGCGUUUUCAACGUGCCCCUCCAGGCAGAACAAUGAGGCCCUUGAAGCCUGGGAUCCUCGCUUCCUCCUGUUAUCCCGGAGCAGGCGAGGGAGUCUGCGCGCGGAGGGGACCCCGGGACCUACGCAGGGCCAGCGGUGGGGGAGGGCCUGGCCUGCAGGGUGUCGCCGAGCCGCCCCGGGGAAGCCCGGCAGCCAAAUCACAGGUUGGGAUCCGCCGGUGAUGCCGAGGGUUGCUUCAGGCUUGGAAGAAUUCAUCACACUGGUACCCAGAGUAACUUCAGGUAAAAUGAAGGCGCACCAAAAUCAGAGCAGCUUCACAAUCGCCUAUUGACCGGGCACCUGUUCCUGCCCCAGACGCUAUGCAAAUGCCGGCCAGGAGCGAAGCCGCCAGCCCCUCGGGCCAUUGUGCAUUGAACCCUGAUGGCGCCCUGCCAGCUCCCAGCCGGCCUUUGUUCACUAGCUGUGCUGAGCCACCCCCGCCACCGCCUCCGCCCGCCUGAGGUGCCCUGCCGAGGAACCGCUUGCUGACAGCCACUUGGGUCCUUGCACCUGAAGAAAGGCUGCUCAAUCUGGAGGCCAGGCCCACGCUGAGGCUGGGCCAGGGGCCCCGAGGAGAAGAGGCAGGCAGCUCGCAGGCUGGGGUCCUUAGCUCCUGUCCCCGGGGACCGCGGAGAGGGGCCUGGCAGGCGGAGGAGGGGGCAACCCGGACCAUGCCAUCUGGGGGCGGAGAGAUUAUAAUAAUCGCUCUCACAUCUGCUGAGGGCCUACCCGCCGCAAAGCCCUCUCAGGGCUGGUCUCCCUGCAGGCACACCUGCCUCUCGAAGAGGGCUAGAUUGUGCCUUUGGGGGUGGGGUGGGGAUUGUAGUCCUCUGGGGGGAGCUGGCUGAGAUCAAACAGUGGAGACAGGGGCUCAAACCCACGGGGGUGGAUGUCUCACUUCCCAGACUUUGGGUGUAAAGUUUGGCUGUUCUUCUUCAUCUCUUCUACCUGUCCUUUAGCAGGAUGGCUGACUCCUCGGCUUCAGGGUGCGACAGAUAGCUCUGCCUCAGUUGCUUUUCUUUCUGCAAAAGGAGUUUUAGGUUGUUCUGAUAGUUACAAUAGGCAAGGCUCUGCCAUCUAUUCCAACAUAACAAAUAAAGAGACAGGUAAUGAAAGGCAAAGAUGAAGUCAGUGUGGUCAUCCUAGAUAGAACAGAUAAGGGAAUCUAGUGAUCGAUCCCCCAGGUCCCAUUCUGAAGUACUGACAUGAACUUUAGGCUUACCAAGGAAGAGGGAAGAGGGGACAAAGGCAUAUGCAUAAUUAUGUAGUCUCUGUCAAAGUGUGGUCCCACCCAGCGCUGCCUCAGCUCUGGCCUUGGUGAGUUGUCCAAAGAAGUCCUUGUAAGGCCAAGAGGCAAGCUGGCUCCAAAAAGAUGAUAUCCUGCUCCAAGGUGCUACCACACCCUCACGGAUGACGGCCCUUGCCUGGGGUUUUCUGUCCAGCUAGAUGCUGUUGUUUCUGGAAUUCAUGGUCACUGACUACUUUGGGGGUCUGGACAGGACAAUAUAAAAAGCUGACAGUUAUCAUGCCUCAGUUUCCCAUCUUUGUGCCUUCAAUCUGGGAGUGGGGUGAGGUAGGCUGGAGUAGCCUUGGUUCUAGACAGCUCCUCCUGGGUGAUUAGUUUCUCUCUGUAUGGAGGCGUGCGGCUCACCCACAGUACAGUAAGCACAAAGGCAAGGUGAGGGUGCCAGGCUUUCACUCCACUUCAGUUGUCCUGUGGGUCUAGGGGAGGAGUAAAUAUAGUUUCUGAGUGCCUGAAAAAAGCAUCCUCCAUGCUGGGACAGGCUCCAAAGCUAGAUGGCAUCUCCUGGCACCCGCUGAAGUGCCAGCCCAUGGUCCCCAGUGCAGAGUCACUGAACCAAAGGCUGAGGUGGCACUGCUCUCCAGUUUUCAUGUCAUCUGACGCACAGACAAGUUUGAAGACCACCAACUCCCAAUCAGUGCUGGCUCUCCUGUAUCCAAGCCUUGGCUCACAUAAUUCCCUCCUUUAUAGCUCGGCUUCUCUCCCGAGACACCAAUGCCUCCCUACCUGAACUUUUUCUCACAUCCGAUGUUCCCAGGCUUAGGACAUCCAGACAAGUGAGGCCCACUUUUGAUCAAGGGUAGCGGGGUGUGAUGGUUUGUAUAUGCUCCAAGACAAGAACAUGGCACUAUUAGAUGGUUUGUAUAUGCUCCAGGGAGUGGCACUAUUAGAAGGUGUGGCCCUGUUGGAGUAGGUGUGUCAUUGUGGGUGUGGGCUUUAAGACCCUCAUCCUAAAUCCCGGCGUGGUGGCACACUCCUUUAAUCCCAGCACUCGGGAGGCAGAGGCAGGCGGAUUUCUGAGUUCAAGGCCAGCCUGAUCUACAAAGUGAGUUCCAGGACAGCCAGGGCUAUAGACGACAAAAACAAAACGAAACAAAAAACAAAACAAAACAAAACCUCAUCCUAGCAUGCCUGAAAGUCAGCCUUCUGCUGGCAGCUUUCAGAUGAAGAUGUAGAACUCUCAGCUCCUCCUGUCCCAUGCCUGCCUGGAUGCUGCCAUGUUCUUGCCUUGAUAUAAUGGACUGAACCUCUGAACCCUGUAAGCCAGCCCCAAUUAAAUGUUGUUAUUAUAAGAGUUGCCUUGGUCAUGGUGUCUGUUCACAGGGGUACACCCAGCUCUUCCAUUUGACUAUCUCAACUGUUCUGAUGGGGGGGGAGGGCAGGUGUUGCUGGGAUGAUGAAUAGAGGAGGGGUAGCUAACACAGCUUGGGGACAGGGGACAGGAAGCAAUCUUGGGAGGGAUGGUACUUACACCGUCUUAAGGAAAAGGUAAGGGAUAAGUCUGAUAUUCUCAGAACACAGUUUUAGUCUCCCUGGGGGAGGCCCCCGCUACUUAUGUGUGUUGUAAGCAAGUCCAGCUGGAGUAGGGAAGGAGAAGUCAGGCUGAGGUCACCGGAGUGGUCCAGAUGUCAUCACACUUUCCACACACUCAUGCUUAAGUGGAGAAUCAUCUGCCUACUUUGCACCUGGAAAGAGGCCCAUCCAUAUUCCAGGAUGCAGGAUGAGGGGCCGCUGAGACAUCCUGGAGACAGAGUUCCUAGCCCGUGAAGUGGGUUCCAUCAGGGGUAUGAUUCAGACAGACAUCCCAGCAAAGGGGCAGCCUGCUGUGGGAUGCUAACCAACCAGUAGGAGGCUUUGGUAGGGUGGUACCUCAGUCCCCAGACUGCUUCUUACACAAACCCCCAUCCAUCUCUACUUCAUGUCCCUGCUCCACCAGGAGGAGACCCCAUGUGAGGAGUGACACAAAGCCCCAGCAUGACCCCAUAUACCAUCCAAGGUGUCCCUCCUUCCUCAGCGCUUUGGUCCUGAUAAUCUUUCACCUGGUGCCAACUGCUUUAAUGAGUUUGGCCCCAAGCAGGCAAAUGUGAUCUCGGGAGAGGCUGGCAUGAGGUUUGUGGAGAGCUGAGGGCUUCUCUGGCUCACAUUUGUCUCCCUCAAGUGCUUUUGGAGCACUCUCUGCUGAAAAGACAAAUGAGGAAGGAAGGCAAGUGCGGCUGUCUCCCUCCCACCAUGGCAUCUGAGUUCUUGUGUGUCUGCUCUCAACGUGCCCUGUCCAGUGUGCUCUGUCUAGGCCUCACAGUUUUCUUACGCUACCGCACCUCCCAGGCUCUGCAGGCAACCUAAGAGCCAGGGCACCAUGGUAACACUCCCUCCCUCUGGGCCCAGAGGACUAACUUUUUCUUUUCUUUUCUUUUCUUUUCUUUUCUUUUCUUUUCUUUUCUUUUCUUUUCUUUUCUCUUCUCUUCUCUUCUCUUCUCUUCUCUUCUCUUCUCUUCUUUUCUUUUCUUUUCUUUUCUUUUCUUCUUUCUUUGUUUUUGUUUUUGUUUUUUUCGAGACAGGGUUUCUCUGUAUAGCCCUGGCUGUCCUGGAACUCAUUUUGUAGACUAGGCUGGCCUCAAACUCAGAAAUCCACCUGCCUCUGCCUCCCGAGUGCUGGGAUUAAACUUUUCAAGCUUACAAACUCCCGUGAUUCCGAGAACUCUUAGCUCAUUCUGGGCAUGAAAGGUUUAGUAAGUGUCUAUCUAAUGGACAUUGUAAGAGCCCAGGAGAGGAGCUGUGCAUCUCCCUAGGAACUAUACUCUGGAGGGUAAGCUGGAGCCAUGUGUGAUGUGGUCAGAUAAGGUCUAAGUGGGAAAGGAGAGGCAGGAAUAAAGAGACCCUAGGGCUCAGAGUGGACCCCACUGGAGACCAGUUCACCUGGGGGAGGGGUGUAAAUGAGGGAAGGACUAGUAUUGACAGUCGAGUUUCCAGAUGUGUAUAUAGUUGUGAUGCCCUCAAAUGGCAACAGAGAAGCCGGUGGAGGCAGAUGGUGUUCCCUGAGCUGAGACUGUGCUAUCCAAGGCACUGGUGCAAAGUGGCACCCUCUAGGAGGUUGACUUGGACCCUGGCAGUCUGGGAGGGUCUGUGCUGGCACUGACCCCCUUGCUCCAGUGUCCUAGAUGGCAGUGGGCUUCAGGGAAGCUCUCCUACACCCAGGGUGUGUUCUCUGCUUCUUCUGUCCCUGUUGUGUAGUUACACAACUUCCCCAUCCCCACAGUACUGGUCUGCCAGCCUCAUUGGUAUCUGGAGCAACGGGAGUGGAGGUUGGGUGGGGGCAUAGCUAUGGUUUCUGAGUCACUGGGUCUGGUGGCUUUGUUUGUCUGGCAGCCUCACCUUAUGUGACUUCCUCCUCUACUGGGAUCUUUGAGGACACGUUUAAGAGCAUUUGGAAGGGAAGAUUCAAACUGCCAGGGCCAUGCACUACCCCAACCCAGUGAAUCUACAUCAUGCCCUAGGCACAGAUGCCCCAAGUGGGAGGCAUUGCCGUUCCAGUCCAGAGAGGUUCAGGAGGGAUCAGUGAUGAGCAUCCUAACCUCCUCUGUUGUUGGAGCAGCGAUGGUACGAACAUCAACAAGAAAUAGAUAGUUCUAUAGUUAGGAGGAGCUGGCUCUAGAGAGGAGCUGGCACACUCUUAGGUUCACACAGGGGAUGUCUCUGUCGAGGCUUCUUGGAGAUAAUGUCUUGGCACUGAUGGACUUCUGAUUAUAAUAAGAGUGCCAGGCCCAGAUAUUCCAACUGUCCAAGCACUUGGUAGAAUGUUUUACUCAAUCCAAGGCAUUGCUGGAAGAUCUGAUGUUCUCCUAAGAAGAGGCAGAGAGCCACUUGGGGCUGGCGUGGGGUGUGUGAGCCACUUCGGGCUGGCACAGAGUGUGUUCUUGCAUAACUUAUGCAAUACUUUAAAGAGUAAAAAGGCUUCCCUCUUUUAGCUUGGCCUUGUGGCUCAGGCUUAUAAUCACAGCUACUUUGGAAAGGGAAGCAGGAAGACUGCAAGUUCAAGGCUGCCCGAGCUACUGAGCUUGGACACUUAGUAAAGCUCCAAGUCUAAAACGUAAGUAAAUAAACAAAUAAACAAACAUGCAACAUAAACACACAAGGGCAGAGCACUUGCCUAGCAUGUGUGAAGUUCUAGGUUUGAUUCGAUCUUUCCUUAGUUGGAUGUGGGAACAGUAGCUGACAGGUUAGACCACACUCAUCCCUGCCGUGUAGGACUACCAGCAGGGUUUGAGGCAGAGAGGCUGGCUCUCACUUUCUCUACUGUUCAAGAAGCCUAACAACUCAGCAAAUCUAAGGGUGACUGACUAUAGCUACUUGUGGGUACAGGACACCUGUCCUUGUUGGACCUGCAACACCUGACUUUAGGAAGUGCCUAGCUUUGGGGAGGGGCUCCUAGGGGCCCCUCCUCUCAAGGACUUCCUUCACCCACUCCUUGGCAGAGCUCUCCCAACUGGACCAGGAGACCCCACCCAACAAUCACUUCUGUCAUUGUGUCACCAAGAAAUCUGUAAAUCCUACUCAGUCUCAUGAGGAGGGGAGCAUGAUCAUAUGUCAUUUUAUGCCGGUGACAGUCGCUGUCAACUCUGGACACCUUGUCCUAUACGUCCACCUCCUUUAACAAAACCCACUUGCUCUCUGUAGCUCUGGGAAACGCUCCUUGGGAAUUAUGAUUCAGGCUUCCAUUCCAAGCCUCCUGAUUUACAAUGCGGAGAAAUCCUGUUUUCUUUGUGAGCUGAGAGUCCGGGGAGGAUAAUGGAGCAGGCACUUCCCUCGGCUGUCACAAGGUGAAACCCUGCCGCUGCUGUGAAUGCCUCUCCUCAGAUGCUUGUCUUCAGAGGUGGCUUUCUGCCAAGAGGCAACCUGAGGGCUCCCAGUCAAGCUGCCCUCUGUCCCCGGGGCUUUCUGCUCACCUCUCAGCCUCCCCAUUUCCCAAGCACCCCUGUCUUAGUCAGCCACCCGGCUGGCUUGGAGCCUCCCCUCUGUUCAAAGUUCUGCUGUUGUAGGCCUACUAUGUGCCAGGCCCUGAGCUUCCUCCUGCCCUUAAAAGAAAUCUUGCUCCUUUUGUUUAGCCUUUCUUCCAUCAUAAGGUUGGCUUACCAUUCCAUUUCACAGAGGGGCAACUGGAGGCCCAGUGGGAUGACAAGCAGGCAAGGGUGAUGAGUUGGUGUUAGAUGAUUCUGGGACCUGGAACAGACGCUCCUACAUGUUCCUACUGUCUCAUACAUGUUCCUACUGUCUCAUACAUGUUCCUACUGUCUCAUACAUGUUCCUACUGUCUCAUACAUGUUCCUACUGUCUCAUAUAUGUUCCUACUGUCUCAUACAUGUUCCUACUGUCUCCUACAUGUUCCUACUGUCUCCUACAUGUUCUCCCCCCUAAAUUCCCACAAUCCUUCAGGCUUACAGCAUAAGGGACUGGGAAAGCUGCCAGGUGGUCUGCUGGGCUCUCAACCUCUUCACCACUCGGGUCUAAAAUAGCGCUCCUCUGCUCUCCAAACUGUAAGGAGACAAUCUCACAGCAGGAGUGCAGAGAAAACCACUUCCUGUGGUAUCACAAAAGCAGACUGUCCACUCUGAAUGAUCCAGUGCUGGGUGCACCCUUAAAUCCGGCUGCUAUCUUCAAGGAACAUUCUAGAAUCUGUAUAGUCCCAGUGCAGAGUAUGAAUUUGGUCCUUAUACAUAUAGCGGUUGGACCUCGUCUGUCUCUAUGUGUCUCACUCUAUCACUUGAUAUCAACCAAACAGAAAUAAUACCAGCCACGCCUGACCAGGGGCCACGAUCUGUGAAUGUUAGAGGCACCAGCCCUGUCCCGGGGCCUGGAGGCAGUAAUUAGAAGCAGGAGCAGUGGGGUGGUGUACUGGGUCUGGGGCAGGGCUGUGUGGCUGUUCUGGUCUUCAUUUGAUUGUUCCUUCUUCAAUGUCCAGGGUGGGGGACCCAGAUGGUUAGCUGUGGCCUGGGGCUCUGACUGUUCCACACAGCCCUGCCUGACACCCCUAAAUGGCUGCCCCUGAUGGGUUCAAAGAAGGUGAGGGGGAAUCCCUUCUGUGUCCCCGACUCCUGGGAACCAGUAAAGAAUCUAUGCCAGGCCCUAGAGAUUGUGAGCUAAUGUUAGCCAGGCCUGGUGCUUAAAGUCCUGCCUGGGAUGAAUUCCAAACGGGGCACAGAGACUUUGGAGUUUGGGGACAGUGGAAACACAGAUGCCUGUUACUUCAUCCAGGAGGAAAUGCCCAGACAGCAGGAAUUGUCUGCUGGUUCUUAUCCCUGUCAAUCCUGGCUCAGCAUGUGGAGAGAUGGUGUCCCUGGGGCCAAGGGACAGUGCUGCGAUGUCCUGGCCAAGCUGUGGUUCACCCUCCCACUGUUCACUGAGCUUCAGGGGAGGCUAAGCAGCCUCCACCCAGCUUGUGUCCCGCCCACAGAGUCUUCCUUGCUCUUCUGCCCUGCCUUUGACAGUGUUUUCCCAGACAGAGUGAAGUUCUGGCAUGGGUGGAACCCAUGUGAUAUUGCCAGCACCCUCCCUCCCUGACCUCUAGACCCCAUUCCUGGGAGGAGGACAUGAGCUGUGUCCCACACACAGGGCUGCAGGCUUUGAGGAGGAGGGAGAUGCAGACUCCCUUGAGAUUAGGUAUGGGGAAGACGGUGUCACUAGGAGCCAGGUAGAAGUUUGGGCAUGAUGGACAGGCAGGAGUCAGCGAGGCACACAUGGCAAAGAAAUGGAGAGUGUUCCUGCAAAGAGAGAGGGGCGCAAGCCAGAGGACAGGAAGAAGAGGGAGAAGAAGGGAGGGAGGUGGGAAGAGGAGAGGAAGAGGAGGGAGGUGGGAAGAGUGGCUUUCAGUGGUUCUGGCUGGCUGGACGUCAGGGCAGGUGUGGUAAAGGCACUGGAGAGGCAGUCAGAGCAAACAGUAAAGAAGGGCCCUGGUAGCCAUGCUACAGAGUCCGGACUACCCUGGCCUCACCCCUGCUUCUGGAAGUUUAUUCUAUCUGCUGUAUGGGAAGAGAAGAGGGAGAGGAGGACAGACAGGAUGCAGGGGAGUACCUUAGAGCUACUGUCAUCACCGGGACAAAGGGGAGACAGUGGCUAUGGCGAUGGAGGGGGCAGACUAAGUAAAGUCAUUUAGCCAGGUGUGGUAGCAUAGACCUGGGAUCCCAGAAACUGAGAAAAGAAGGACCCUAAGUUUUAAUUUAGUCUGAGCUACAUAGUGAAACCCCAUUCUAUACUCUUUCCAGGGAAAGACAAACAACAGCUGGCAAUGGUGGUGCACGCCUUUAAUCCCAGCACUUGGGAGACAGAGGCAGGCAGAUUU